GAGACUGCCAGUGAUAAACUGGAGGAAGGUGGGGAUGACGUCAAGUCAUCAUGGCCCUUACGACCAGGGCUACACACGUGCUACAAUGGCGCAUACAAAGAGAAGCGACCUCGCGAGAGCAAGCGGAGCUCAUAAAGUGCGUCGUAGUCCGGAUUGGAGUCUGCAACUCGACUCCAUGAAGUCGGAAUCGCUAGUAAUCGUGGAUCAGAAUGCCACGGUGAAUACGUUCCCGGGCCUUGUACACACCGCCCGUCA
rnacentral:rRNA from 1 species